UACGUAGGGGCCUAGCGUUGUCCGGAAUUAUUGGGCGUAAAGGGCUCGUAGGCGGUUUGUCGCGUCGGGAGUGAAAACACCGGGCUUAACUCGGUGCUUGCUUUCGAUACGGGCAGACUAGAGGCAUGCAGGGGAGAACGGAAUUCCUGGUGUAGCGGUGAAAUGCGCAGAUAUCAGGAGGAACACCGGUGGCGAAGGCGGUUCUCUGGGCAUGUCCUGACGCUGAGGAGCGAAAGUGUGGGGAGCGAACAGG
rnacentral:rRNA from 1 species